rnacentral:rRNA from 1 species
UACGUAGGGGGCUAGCGCUGUCCGGAAUCAUUGGGCGUAAAGAGCGCGUAGGCGGCCAGAUAAGUCCGGUGUGAAAGUCACAGGCUCAACCUGUGAAUGCCGCUGGAAACUGUCUGGCUAGAGUCCGGGAGGGGCGAGUGGAAUUCCUGGUGUAGCGGUGAAAUGCGCAGAUAUCAGGAGGAACACCAAUGGCGAAGGCAGCUCGCUGGAACGGUACUGACGCUGAGGCGCGAAAGCGUGGGGAGCAAACAGG